rnacentral:sRNA from 2 species
GCGCAAACAAGCCAAUCCCAGGAGGAAAAACGACUGACUUUAAAACAAAGGCAGAACAUUUAUUACAAAUAUCACUGUGUGAAAGGAAAUCUACUGAAAUA